GCCGGGUGCAGUGGCGCACACCUAUAAUCCCAGCGGCUUGGGAGACUGAGACAGGAGGAUCGCAAGUUCAAAGACAGCUUCAACAAGAGCGAGGUACUAAGCAACUCAGUAAGACCCUGUCUCUA
rnacentral:sRNA from 1 species